rnacentral:rRNA from 1 species
AUGAACGCUAGCUACAGGCUUAACACAUGCAAGUCGAGGGGCAGCAUGGUCUUAGCUUGCUAAGGCCGAUGGCGACCGGCGCACGGGUGAGUAACACGUAUCCAACCUGCCGUCUACUCUUGGACAGCCUUCUGAAAGGAAGAUUAAUACAAGAUGGCAUCAUGAGUCCGCAUGUUCACAUGAUUAAAGGUAUUCCGGUAGACGAUGGGGAUGCGUUCCAUUAGAUAGUAGGCGGGGUAACGGCCCACCUAGUCUUCGAUGGAUAGGGGUUCUGAGAGGAAGGUCCCCCACAUUGGAACUGAGACACGGUCCAAACUCCUACGGGAGGCAGCAGUGAGGAAUAUUGGUCAAUGGGCGAGAGCCUGAACCAGCCAAGUAGCGUGAAGGAUGACUGCCCUAUGGGUUGUAAACUUCUUUUAUAAAGGAAUAAAGUCGGGUAUGGAUACCCGUUUGCAUGUACUUUAUGAAUAAGGAUCGGCUAACUCCGUGCCAGCAGCCGCGGUAAUACGGAGGAUCCGAGCGUUAUCCGGAUUUAUUGGGUUUAAAGGGAGCGUAGAUGGAUGUUUAAGUCAGUUGUGAAAGUUUGCGGCUCAACCGUAAAAUUGCAGUUGAUACUGGAUAUCUUGAGUGCAGUUGAGGCAGGCGGAAUUCGUGGUGUAGCGGUGAAAUGCUUAGAUAUCACGAAGAACUCCGAUUGCGAAGGCAGCCUGCUAAGCUGCAACUGACAUUGAGGCUCGAAAGUGUGGGUAUCAAACAGGAUUAGAUACCCUGUUAGUCCACUCGGUCAACGAUGAAUACUCGCUGUUUGCGAUAUACUGCAAGCGGCCAAGCGAAAGCGUUAAGUAUUCCACCUGGGGAGUACGCCGGCAACGGUGAAACUCAAAGGAAUUGACGGGGGCCCGCACAAGCGGAGGAACAUGUGGUUUAAUUCGAUGAUACGCGAGGAACCUUACCCGGGCUUAAAUUGCAGAUGAAUUACGGUGAAAGCCGUAAGCCGCAAGGCAUCUGUGAAGGUGCUGCAUGGUUGUCGUCAGCUCGUGCCGUGAGGUGUCGGCUUAAGUGCCAUAACGAGCGCAACCCUUGUUGUCAGUUACUAACAGGUUCCGCUGAGGACUCUGACAAGACUGCCAUCGUAAGAUGUGAGGAAGGUGGGGAUGACGUCAAAUCAGCACGGCCCUUACGUCCGGGGCUACACACGUGUUACAAUGGGGGGUACAGAGGGCCGCUACCACGCGAGUGGAUGCCAAUCCCCAAAACCUCUCUCAGUUCGGACUGGAGUCUGCAACCCGACUCCACGAAGCUGGAUUCGCUAGUAAUCGCGCAUCAGCCACGGCGCGGUGAAUACGUUCCCGGGCCUUGUACACACCGCCCGUCAAGCCAUGGGAGCCGGGGGUACCUGAAGUGCGUAACCGCGAGGAGCGCCCUAGGGUAAAACUGGUGACUGGGGCU